rnacentral:lncRNA from 1 species
GACCAAUGACUAGUCUAUAAUAAUUAAUUGAAUUAUGCGAUUAAAUCAAUAAAUAAUCAUUAAAAACGGUAAAGCUACAGUUACGCAGCCUAAAAUAAUUAUAUUUUUGCACUUGUUGUGCCAGGGGGUUUUGCUACAUCAACUAUCUUAUAGCCUGCUGCUACAAAGAAGUGCUGCUACAUCGAAUGAGGGUUUGGCAUGGGCUAGCAAUCUUUUUUCACUUUAUUAUUUCAAUUAUAUUCCUAUUGUUUGUAAAGCCUCUACUGACAAGCGGAAAAAUAAAAUUAUUUUAGGCCGUGUAACUGUAGGAUUAUCAUUAAAAACAAUUAGAAUAAAAAAACUCAAUUUAAAUCAUUAUUUUUAUUUGUCUGAUUUAAGUCAUGAUUUAAAUCGAAACAACCCUUUAUAUAUUCCAUCUUUCUAAGGCAGAGGGACAUAAUUCUUGGUUUUAUUAUUUUUCAAUUUAAUAUCUCUGGAUAUUUUAUAUAUUUAGUGUGCGUACAACAGUAACAACUUUAAUCUUAAACAUUAACUUUAGUUAUAACUUAAUUAUUAAUGAUUUGAUUUAUAGAUUUUUAAAGCAAUACAAGAUUAAACUUAGCAGAAGGCUAAACUUCUGCUCUGGAGAAAAAAAGGAAGACAGCGAAAAUGACAAAGAGACAAAAAAUUGUGUAUAUCUUGGUGUAGAUGAUUUAUCCUCAAUUUCUUAUAAUAAAACAAAAAAUAUUAUUAGACUUUGGGAUUUACCUGUAACUCGAAACUCUUUACAGAAGUUCAAUGUUUGCUCUGAGAAGUUGAAUGAACAAAAUUUAUUAAAUGUGUUCAUUCUUAGUCGUCAUUGAAGUACAACUUGGUAAACUACAAAGCACAUCAAAUUCAGUUAUAAAAAUUUGAGUAACAAAGGUAUGCUAAUUAUUGUAUUGCCUGAAAAAGUGUCAUUGCAGUGAAGAAUUCAAGUACUCUGGAAGAAAAGAAAAUACGUCAAUUAUUUGGCACAAAUCAGAGUUAAAGACAAAGGAGAUUGUAUAUUUUAUUUGCUAAGAAUAGUUUUUUAAAAUGGCCUAGUUGUAAAAUUAAACUAUGCAGGGAGAGGACAAAAAAUUGGAAUAGAAAAAAUGUUGAUUGCAUAUGCUGCUAUUGAAACUGUGAAGUCAA